AAUGAACGUUGGCGGCGUGGAUUAGGCAUGCAAGUCGUGCGCGAAAGUUCCCUUCGGGGAGCGAGUAGAGCGGCGAACUGGUGAGUACAAGAUGGAUAACGUGCCCUGGAGUGGGGAAUAACCAGUGGAAACACUGGCUAAUACCGCAUGAGUCUGUUGGGUCUUCGGCCCUGGCAGAGAAAGGUCUUCGGACCGCUCCUGGAUCGGUCCAUCCCCCAUUAGCUAGUUGGUGAGGUAACGGCUCACCAAGGCUUCGAUGGGUAGCUGGUCUGAGAGGAUGGUCAGCCACACUGGGACUGAGAUACGGCCCAGACUCCUACGGGGGCAGCAGUCUAGAGGCUUCGGCAAUGGACGAAAGUCUGACCGAGCGACGCCGCGUGGAGGAUGAAGCAUUUCGGUGUGUAAACUCCUUUCGGAUAGGGAAAAGCCCUGAUGGUGAAUCAGGGAUUGAUCCU
rnacentral:rRNA from 1 species